rnacentral:rRNA from 1 species
GACGAACGCUGGCGGCGUGCUUAACACAUGCAAGUCGAACGGAAAGGCCCUGCUUGCAGGGUACUCGAGUGGCGAACGGGUGAGUAACACGUGGGUGAUCUGCCCUGCACUUCGGGAUAAGCCUGGGAAACUGGGUCUAAUACCGGAUAGGAGCCAUUUUUAGUGUGAUGGUUGGAAAGUUUUUUCGGUGUAGGAUGAGCUCGCGGCCUAUCAGCUUGUUGGUGGGGUAAUGGCCUACCAAGGCGGCGACGGGUAGCCGGCCUGAGAGGGUGGACGGCCACAGUGGGACUGAGAUGAGGCCCAGACGCCGACGGGAGGCAGGAGUGGGGAAUAUUGCACAAUGGGCGCGAGCCUGAUGCAGCGACGCCGCGUGGGGGAUGACGGCCUUCGGGUUGAAAACUCCUUUCGCUAGGGACGAAGCUUUUUGUGACGGUACCUAGAUAAGAAGCACCGGCUAACUACGUG